UCUGCACCUGUGGCGCUGACCCCCAGGCUGCUGGGCUUGGCCUGGGCCCCUCCUGCGCCUCCUUCUCCAGGCGAUGCGCGAUGGGCCGUUAUCAAGCCUCACCUGCUUUGGUCCCAUCAUUGUCUAGUCUCUGUUUGUAAUUCACAUAAUUAUUGGAACUUCUGAAGGACGAAGGACGUAAGCAGACCAGAGCCUUGAUGAUGUCUGCUCUCUGAAGUUCUUAUUGCUGAAAUCUAAGAAGCCGGAGAAGGGUGGUCUCAAUAUAUUGAGUUUGUAACACAUUACGCUCUUGGAGAUUCAGACUUGGAAUUCAAACUCUACUUGACAUUUCUGAACUUCAUUAAAUUCACGACCAGUCGGAACAUCCUUUAGAACAGAACAUUUCC
rnacentral:lncRNA from 1 species